rnacentral:rRNA from 1 species
AACGAACGCUGGCGGCAUGCCUAACACAUGCAAGUCGAACGAGACCUCCGGGUCUAGUGGCGCACGGGUGCGUAACGCGUGGGAACCUGCCCUUAGGUUCGGAAUAACUCCCCGAAAGGGGUGCUAAUACCGGAUAAUGUCUUAGGACCAAAGAUUUAUCGCCCUUGGAUGGGCCCGCGUUGGAUUAGCUAGUUGGUAGGGUAAAAGCCUACCAAGGCGAGGAUCUAUAGCUGGUCAGAGAGGAUGAGCAGCCACACUGGGACUGAGACCCGGCCCGGACUCGGACGGGAGGGAGCAAUGGGGAAUAGUGUAAAGUGGCGGAAGGGCUGAUCCAGCAAUGCCGGUUGAGUGGUGAAGCCCUUAGGGUUGUAAUGCACUUGUACCCGGGAUGAUAAUGACGGUACCGGGUGAAUAAGCGCCGGCUAACUCCGUG